ensembl:vault_RNA Vault Vault RNA
AGGCUGGCCUCUAGCCCAGUGGUUCCUUCAGGAACAAAUUUUUACCCAUAUAGUCUGGUGGUUUCCACCAGCAGGAUGGAUUGAGACCUGCAGGCACUCUCCAGUCCUUUU